rnacentral:rRNA from 1 species
GAUGAACGCUGGCGGCGUGCCUAAUACAUGCAAGUCGAGCGAACGGACGAGAAGCUUGCUUCUCUGAUGUUAGCGGCGGACGGGUGAGUAACACGUGGAUAACCUACCUAUAAGACUGGGAUAACUUCGGGAAACCGGAGCUAAUACCGGAUAAUAUUUUGAACCGCAAGGUUCAAAAGUGAAAGACGGUCUUGCUGUCACUUAUAGAUGGAUCCGCGCUGCAUUAGCUAGUUGGUAAGGUAACGGCUUACCAAGGCAACGAUGCAUAGCCGACCUGAGAGGGUGAUCGGCCACACUGGAACUGAGACACGGUCCAGACUCCUACGGGAGGCAGCAGUAGGGAAUCUUCCGCAAUGGGCGAAAGCCUGACGGAGCAACGCCGCGUGAGUGCUGAAGGUCUUCGGAUCGUAAAACUCUGUUAUUAGGGAAGAACAUAUGUGUAAGUAACUGUGCACAUCUUGACGGUACCUAAUCAGAAAGCCACGGCUAACUACGUG